rnacentral:lncRNA from 1 species
GCACUCGGGAGGCAGAGGCAGGCGGAUUUCUGAGUUCGAGGCCAGCCUGGUCUACAGAGUGAGUUCCAGGACAGCCAGGGCUACACAGAGAAACCCUGUCUCAAAAAAAAAACAAAAAAAAAAAAAAAAAAAAAAAAAAUUCCCCAGUUGUAGAUCGUGGUGGUACACACCUUUAAUCCCAGACUCAGUAGGCAGGGAUAGGUGAAUCUUUGUUCCAGGACUACAUUUUGAGACCGUGAAAUCCUGCUUCAAAACAAAACAAAAAAAUCCCCAGUAGGUAAUUAUCAAAACCAAAAGUUUCAGCAAAGAACUGUAAAAAGAACCAACCCGCAAGAUUGGAGCAAAAUAGCAAUUUAAACCUCAGAAGUUGGGCAUCCUCCAUUGUUACUGUUGGUAGCAAGAUCUCUAGCCCAUCAGCCUAGGCUGACUGGAACUCACAGUGUAGCGUUGGCUCCGGAGCUCUCCUCCUACCCCAGUCUCACAUCUUGCAAGAGUUUUGUUCUCUCUCCAUCAAGUAGGUCCCAGGGACCAAACUCGGGCCGCCAGGCUUUGUCAGCAGGCACUUGACCUGCUUGACCAUCUUGCCAGGACUAAAAUCUGGGUUUUUAUAAAAUGAGCAAAAUGAACCCAAUACAAAAUUUUCACAUUCUGUAUUGUUGCUGUAUCCGUGAAUUGGGUAGUCCACUCUUAAGUAACUGGUGUGGCCAUGGGCAAGGGUACUGGUGCUGGAUCUUAAUCGUGAUUCCAUCGGUCACAAAGUAUUCACUUCUCUGGAGGGGUGAGAACUUUCCCAUCUAAAUUGCUCAUGGAGCAGAGGACACUUAGAUUUUCUUUGACAAAACAUCUAACAAUAAGCAAUUUGAAGAAAAGUUGAUAUCUCUUGUGUAUCUAAAUGAUAUUUACUGGUGACAUGUCAAUGGAAAUGGACCUUAAAAUGACCUUUUACCUGCAGUUUGACAAAAUGGCAUUUCACCCUGUUUCUAUUUUAUUUAGGGAUGAUUUUUUUUUUUUAACAUAUAUGAGUAUUUUACCUGCAUAUAUGCCUGUGUAGCACAUGCAUGCAGUGCCCUUGAAGGCCAGAAAAGGGUAUCCUCUGGAACUAAAAGUUACAGAGGGUUGUAAGCCACCAAUCUGCCAUCUGGAAAAGCAGCCAAUGCUCUUAACCACUGAAGCAUCUCUCCAGCCCCGAACAACACAUUAAAAAAGCAGUAUAUCAAACUAGCCAUGGGGACACAAACUUUAACAGCAGCAUUUGGACUGUGGAAGCUGAGAACUCAUGAGUCAGUUCAAGGCCAGCCUGGACCACAGAAGACCUGUCUUACAAAGCAAAUGUGGGCCAUGGUCACAAAGAAUAUAAAAUAGUCUCCCUUAGCUAAUCUUCUGAAGGAGAAAGGAAUGUUUUAUGAAGUUUGUUGCUGAAAUCAGCAUUGUGUACCCCGCCACUCCAGCGUGCUGUUCAUGAGGCUGUGUCUCACUCUGCAGCCCUGGCUGGCCUGAAGCUCACACUUCUGACCUGCCUCGCUCCCCUGAGGUUAGGGUUGAAGUUUAGUGUCAUCACACACAGCAAGAACCUUUAUGGAACAUUCCCUUUUAAAGGAAAUUGUCAUUUAAGAGUAAAAGGAGCACUCUCCCUUUAAAAAGGAAAGUGAAGGAAAACCAUUGCUAACAGUCAUCUACCUAAGAUGUUGAGGGCUGGAGAGAUAGGUAGGUCGGCAGUUUUAAGAGCAAGGACCCAAGUUCAUUUGCCAGCACCUGUGUCAAUGGCUCCCGACACCUCUGCCAGCUCCAAGGAAUCUGAUGCCCUGGCCGCUGUAGGCACCUACUCUGGGGUGUAUCCUCCCCGUCCCAUAGUUGAAAGUAACAAUUGUUUGAAAGAAUUGCUAAAGCUCUAAAUUGCUACAGUUUCCAUGGAAGUAGCAAAUGUCUGCGUAAAUGCAGCUGGUUACUUUUCCCUUUUGUGAUGUUUUGUUUAUUCGGUUUUGAUGUAAAGUGUCACUGUGUAGCCUAGUAGAGCGGUCUGUUAAACUCAGAAUUCUCCUGCUUCAGCCUCUUCAGGACUGGGAUUAAUUAUACUUCCACAUCUGCUCUUCCAGAGUGCUUCAACUUGAUUUGAUUGCUAAAAACAAAAAGUAUGCACUGUAUGCUGUGUUUAACUUCUGUGUAUGGAAUAUGGCACAGCUAUGUUAAAAGGUGGGAGGAGAAAGGAUCCAAGAAUAAACUUAGGUCUGUGAAUGUAGUUCAGUGGUAGAAUGCAUACAAGUUUCACCCUUUGGUUCCCAGCACAGGAAGAAAGCAAAACAAGAGCCUUGAUCCUGUAUCUUAAAUGUUUACGAGUGGGGAAUGGGAAGGUGGCUCAGUGGAUAAAGCACGAGUUGCAUAAGCUGGGAACCUGUAGUUUGAAUCCCCACAACCCACGUAUAAGGUGGGCAGGCACAGAGACCACCUGUAACCCAGUGAGUACGCAGGAGGCAGAGGCUGGGUUCCACACCAUAGCCCAGCUGCCCUUGAGUUCAUGUCCACCUCCAGCACUUCCUCCUAAGAGCUGGGAUUAAGGCAGAUUGCAGGUGUGAGUUGCCGUACCCAUUUUUUAUUGUUUUCUAGUAUGUGCAUUUGUGUCGUAUAAAUUUCCUUUUCAAGCUAGGCAUGUUUGUCUAUGUGUGUGAUCCCGGCAUAGGGGAGGCAGAGGUGGAAGGAUCACCAAGCUAAGGCUCACCUGGUGAUCUUCUUAGUGGAUUGUACUAGGUCAGUUGACUGUGUUGAGACUGUUGGAAAGACCAGUGAGAGUAACAUAAACAUCCCUUUCAGGGCUGCUCCUGUCUGCCUUGAUAGUUCAUGUUCUUUUUAUUUAAUUCAAUGCAUUCCUAAGAAACUUCCCCUGGGGGGCUGUGGUGCAGCUCAGCAGCGGAACACUUAACUUACUUAGCAAGGCCAAGGCCCUGGGUUCAUCCCAGCACUGUGAAAAAGAACUCACGUGUCUGGAAGAUCCAUGGCCUUCCAAAGAAAGGAACAGAAAAAGGAAAAUUCCCUUGACCUAUGAGUUACUUAGAAGAGUGCUGUUCAGCCUGGGGAGGUGGCGCACGCCUUUAAUCCCAGCCUUUAAUCCCAGCACACCGGAGGCAGAGGCAGGCGGAUUUCUGAGUUCAAGGCCAGCCUGGUCUACAAAGUGAGUUCCAGGACAGCCAGGGCUACAGAGAAACCCUGUCUCAAAAAACCAAAAAAAAAAAAAAAAAAAAAAAAAAAGUGUGCUGUUCAGUUUCUACUUUCCAAUCAUUAGGAGAUUCUUCUUAUCUGUAAGUGAUUUGUUUGAUUAUUUUGUGGUCAGAUCAUUCAACAUAAUUUCAGUUCUUUUAAAUUUGUUGAGAUUUGUUUCACGGUCAGCAUAAUGUUUAUCUUGAUAGCUCUGUGGGCUCUUGAGCAGAACCUAUUUUGACUGUUGGGUGAAGUGUUCUCUAAAGACCUACUGGGAAUAUAGCUGCUUGAUGGGGGUUGUGAGCCGCCAUGUGGGUGCUGGAAAGUUGACCCUGGGUUCUCUGAAGAGCAGCCAAUGCUGUUGAACUGUGGCACCAGCUCCCCAGCACCACCACUCCCCCUUUUUGGGUCUUGAAAGGAAAAAAAUCUUUUCCCCCCUCAACCAAUGUUGAGAACCAAAGUCAGGGCCUUGUGCUUGCCUUGGCGUCAUCCUGCAGCUGAGCAAAAGCCUCGACUCUUCAGUAUAAAACAUGUAUAAGGAUGACAUAGGCGAUAUGUAAGGAGUCAGCUUAAUGAAGGAAAAAAAUAAACAGCUUUCUUAAAAUUUAAGACUUCUGCCACCACAAAACACCCUGUUAGUCCAUAGAUAAUGGAAGGAAGGGUCUGUAGGUGUGGCUUAAUUUUAGUAGAGUUUCUCCUAACAUGUCUGAAAUCACAGGUUUGAUUUCACAUAGAUUACCACGUAGACCAAGUGUGGUAGAGACCAACUAGGCUACAUGAGACCCUGUCUCAAUACCAGUGUAUAUAAAAUAGAUGCAAACCGCAUUUCCUAUUU